CAGGGCUGACUUCGGAGCAAAUUUCUUCACCGCGUCGCCUACGGACAGGAAUAUCUUGUCGUCGCCGAUGAGCUUCGUGAAUUUUGCUGACUGCAGCUUCUGGAUCACUGCUGACCCGGGAUUGGCGAGGAUCAGCUAUUGUUGGGUAUGCUAAAAAAAAUCCAUGCAAUUGAAACUAAAAAGGCCAUCAAAGGUUUUGUUACCGUUAAGCCGACCAUUCCGGCCACUACACCAAUUCUGAAUCCUUUAGCUAAGUAUGGGCCAGACCAAUAUAUGAGAUGAAAUGAAGAAGUUGCGAGUACUCAAGUUGACUUACAAUUGCAACACCCUGCUUGUCUGCACGGGUGAUGAACACACAGAAUGUGGAUACGAUCACUGAAAUGAGCGGAGCGAUUGCAGAAACCCAGAAGAGCUUUU